rnacentral:rRNA from 1 species
UUCGGAUGAAGAGGAUUGUGACUGAGCGGCGGACGGGUGAGUAACGCGUGGGUAACCUGCCUCAUACAGGGGGAUAACAGUUAGAAAUGGCUGCUAAUACCGCAUAAGCACACAGCUUCGCAUGGAGCAGUGUGAAAAACUCCGGUGGUAUGAGAUGGACCCGCGUCUGAUUAGCUAGUUGGUAAGGUAACGGCUUACCAAGGCGACGAUCAGUAGCCGACCUGAGAGGGUGACCGGCCACAUUGGGACUGAGACACGGCCCAAACUCC